rnacentral:rRNA from 1 species
GUCUAUGGCCAUGCCACCCUGAAUGCAUGAGAUCUCAUCAGAUCUCGGAAGCUAAGCAGGAUCAGGCCUGGUUACUACUUGGAUGGGAGGUAGCCUUUAAAAGGGGGGGGCUCUGGGAA